GAGGGUAUAGCUCAGCAGUAGAGUGCAUGCUUAGCACGCACGAGGUCUUGGGUUCAAUCCCCAGUAUCUCA
rnacentral:tRNA from 1 species